ensembl:lncRNA
AUAUGGAGAGCAAGCUGAUGUUUUUGGUGGUUUGUGUGAUUGGUUGUGCAGUGUCUUGCAUAAAGGCUGACGGGCACCUAUCAACGCCAACAAAUUUAACUUCCAACAUCACCCGCAAUGAGUGUGGAAAAACCAAACUGUGUUUGGACAACCCUAAAGGAUGUGAUCCUUCAGGCAGCUCUCAGUGUUUCUUCACCUCAGUACAGAUUAUCUUAACUACCUUCAACCUGACGGUUGAGCUCAGUGGCAACUCCAUCGGUUACAUUGCUUUAGCAGCUGGAGUGACAUCUAGUGUGGCUCAGGGCCUCAAUAUCAUCUUUGUCUGUGGCAAUAAUAAUGGCAGGUUCUUCUUCCGGACUGCAACACUCUUUAAUAAUACACUGCUGACAACAAAUGUACCCAAUGUAAACAAUAUCCAGGGUUCAAUACAACCAAGCUUGAUUCAGUGUGUUUUCAGCAUCCCCAUUGAUACAAACACCCUUAACUUCCUAAGCAAUGUCAAUGCCACAAAUGUCAACAUUAGCAACAUUGCUAAUUCCCAGCUGAAUGUUUUCCUUGACAUCUUGCAGGGUUCAACCAAUGGAACUGUUCUGGGAGAACCAAAAAGUGUAUUUGGGUCCUCUGUUCCAGUGGAUCUAGCUAAUGUCAACUCCACUAAUGUUGUUGACCCCAUAGCUAAUUCAAAAGACAGCAUCUCACUCAACAGCCUACUGAGUCAUGCUGCAAUUUGCCUUCUCAGUAUCUUCUUGCAUCUGAUCUCAGGGUCCUGAGAGAGAGAUCUGAAGACUAACCAUGCUGUGGAUGGAGUAGUAUAGAUUUGCACUAGAAUCAGCAUGUUUUCCUAAAGUAUUCAUACCUCCACUGGUGUCUUUCUUUAUUUGAUUCUUAGAUUAUUCACAAACAUAUAGGAAACCCAUGUAUGUUUGACAUACACAGGGUGUUGGACACAUAUAUAAAGCUUAUAUAUAAACAUACACAUAUAUAAAGCCCAAUCACAUACACACACACACACACACGCACGCACGCACGCACGCACGCACGCACACACACACACACACACACACACACACACACACAUUAUCUUUUACAUUAUACUGACAGUGGAAAUGAUCCUGAAAACUUUUUGAAGUUACAUUAAAAGCUUAUUAACAAAAAUAAUAACAUUAAAAUACAGUGUUUUUUUUUUUUUUUUCUUUCUGGGGUGAUAUUAUCUAUUACAUACACACUGAAUAAUAUCUUCACUGCUCAUUUUGCAUGAACACCAUUUUAAGAAUCUCUGUCUACCACAAAACAAUAUAUGUGGCAGAACUAAUUGAGAGUGGUGUUUUAGAUUCUAACGAUAUUAAUAAGUAGUAAUAAAUAAAUUAUAAAUAAUUAUUCUGGAAGAUCUCUUAGACUGAACAUUUAAAAACAAAAUGAUAAAUAAAAUAGAUUACAAUUAGAUUAUGAUAAAUUUGCAACUAUCCUUCCAAGUGUGAUAAACUGUUACACUGAUAAAGAUGCAGUGUCUCAUGAUUUCUCUGCUGUACAUAAAACCUUUCAGUUAUAGUAACCUCACCUCACUCUAUCUGAAACAAAUCUUCUUUUUACACCUCAUCCAGUGAAGAGAGGUUUUGUGAGAUAUCACUACUUAUAAGCCAGCUUAUAAGCCAGAAAGCCUACAAUUCCUUCUCUAAUUGACAUGAUGACACGAGAGAGAACAAGUGGCAAAUGGAAAAUAAAGACUGUGAUUUAUGGCCUGUGAAUUUUGUGUUAUUCAAGACCCAGUAACUAUGACUGAUCCUGCUCUCAGGGCACAGGGGAAAUUGGAGCAUUGCAGAAAAAAUUAUGUGUUUAUAGUUAGAGAUAUCAUUCUUGGUGUGAACAAGGCUUAAACCACUAGAUGGCACAAAAACUCACAGCAGUACUUUUCUAAACAUCUAUGUUUCAGUAUGCACCUGGAAAUUUGGCUGAUCCUUGAUGCUUUCGCAUCGCAGUAUGCAGUAUCUCAUGAGUUAUAUGCUGUAUUUAAAACCAGUAAAACAAUCAGUUACAGCACAACCACAUCUGAUUGUAUCUAAAAAUGUACAGUAGGAAUCUUUUUACAUUUCAUGUAGCAAAGAGAGAUAUUGAACUGCUUUCCAGUAUCACUACAAUUGAUCUAAAUGAGCCUAUUAGCCACAAAGCCUAAAACCUCCUCUCUAAUUGACAUAUAGAUGGGAAAGAGAGACAAAGAGUGAUGAAUGGAAAAGAAGAAUCAUUACUGAUGGCCUGUGAAUUUCGGGUUAUUCAAAGAGCCAGUAAUCAUGACUGAUCCCGCUCUCAAGGCACAGGGGAAAUUGGAGCAUUCCAGAAAAUUGAGACAUUUUUAGCAGUGGAAGAUGAACUCUGAGGGACUCUCAACUGCUUACUGGCCAAUUCAAAAAAUUAGUCUACAGUACGUAUUUUUCCUUUCAUAUUGUAAUGUGACAUUAUGACCCUCGGGUGGUUUAAUAACCAGUUCCUCUCUGAUUGCAAAUGGGCGUGGCAUUGAUCUCUGUCAAAGUUCCACCAGAACACACACACACACAAAAAAAAAAAGAGCAGCAGGGACAACUCUGGGGAAUCAUUGGUUGCUGUGGCAGCUCUUUUGACAUUAGUUAGGAUUAAAAGGACUAAACAUACAGUUUUAGACUGAACCAACAAGCAUAUCAAUGAAAAUGUCUAAUUAAAUAAGAAAAGAGUUUGUUUCAGUGUUUCAUCAUUCAUCCAUUUAGAACCAUUUGAAAGCAAUACAAAGUUUGCACUUUGCAUUGACCAUAAUACCCUGCUGCUCCCAUUCUUUAUAUGAUUUGUUGUUGUUGUUGUUGUUUGGUUUACCUGGCAACCAGCUUUUCUUUGUCAAAGACAAUGAUAGAGCCAUUUAUCUGCGAGCUCACUUAGCCAUCAUUUUGCCAUGACCGUUCUAGUAAGAUGCAAUUUCAUCACUUGUAAUUUACCAUGUGGACAAUUAGCUUGAGCGACUGUCAUUUGCAAUGGAGUAGGAAGUCAUAAUGGAGUGAAGGAGAUGCUUUUAUUGGGCUCAGAGGGCAUUCAGAGACAGAUGAGAGCAAGGAUAUGAACGCUGGCCUCUUUGAUAAAGUGUGCCAUUAAAUGUGUGGUUGUGUGGAGGCAAACAGCUUCAAGCUGCCCUGUACUACUGUGGUUACACUAUCAAUUGUUGCGUACAGGAAGGUUGUGUAUUUACCUAAAUCUCCAAAGGGUUUCUUCGGAACACAAAGAAACUGAUAACAAUGCUCAUAAUCUUUUUAUAACAUGAUAUGUAUUACAGUUUUUACAAGCAUUUUUGCACUGAUAACAGAAUCUUUUUGCAAUUUUCAAAACUUUAGACACAUAAUUCACAAACUCACGG